CUGCAGUAGCAUUAUCUACUGAAUAAUUGCCCUUGUCUUCCAUUAAGCUCCCUCACCUCACAGUGGAGCUUUGCAAUGAUGUUGCCAACAUGGUUUCUCAAGAAGAUUAGAUGCAGCGCUUUCACCAUAAAUGACCAUUUUUAAGAGACAAUGUUUUCAGCAGGGGAGCAAGUCGGCUACCAGAACAUGGGACUCUCCCUCGGUACACAUUAUUAGAGUUUUUUAAGAGACAAGCAGGCAAUUUGGCUGUCAUUGGGAUUGUUUGAAGAGAAUGUGUUUAUCCUUGCGAUUCUCAAGGGGAAGGGUAUCAAAAACAGGAUCACCCAUGAGCAGCUGACAUUGCUGUUAUGCAUUUGCCAAUAUUACAUUUAAUAAAUGGGUCUGCCGCAAUACAUUCUGAUCAGGAUAUUUUGCCAUCCCAACGUGAUGUAACCUAUGACCCCUGCUUGUCUUAUUUCGCAUGGCCUGCGUUUGUUUCUUGUAGUGUUCCACUAACUAUAGCGGCUCUGUUUAGAAAUACUUUAGCAAUAACCUUUUUACUCAGGGAUG